AGUGAACGCUGGCGGUAGGCCUAACACAUGCAAGUCGAACGGCAGCACAGUAAGAGCUUGCUCUUACGGGUGGCGAGUGGCGGACGGGUGAGGAAUACAUCGGAAUCUACUUUUUCGUGGGGGAUAACGUAGGGAAACUUACGCUAAUACCGCAUACGACCUACGGGUGAAAGCAGGGGAUCUUCGGACCUUGCGCGAUUGAAUGAGCCGAUGUCGGAUUAGCUAGUUGGCGGGGUAAAGGCCCACCAAGGCGACGAUCCGUAGCUGGUCUGAGAGGAUGAGCAGCCACACUGGAAAUGAGACAAGGUCCAGACUCCGACGGGAGGAAGCAGUGGGGAAGAGUGGACAAUGGGCGCAAGCCGGAUCCAGCCAUACCGCGUGGGGGAAGAAGGCCUUCGGGUUCUAAACCCCUUUGGUUGGGAAAGAAAAACAGCAGGUUAAUACCCCGCUGUUCUGACGGGACCCAAAGAAUAAGCACCGGCUAACUUCGUG
rnacentral:rRNA from 1 species